AGCCAUUCCCCCUUGUCCUGCUACUCCAUGUCCCUGCAAACAACCUCAGACUUUUCAUUGACCUCCUUCAGGUACUGGGAGGCCACAAUUAGGUCAUCCCAAAGCCUUCUCUCUUCCAAGCUGAACAAUCCCAAUUUUUCCUUGGCCUUUUGAACCCCAUAGGCAGAGGCUGCAGGAGUAGCAGCUCUGCUGGGGAAGGCCUGGAGGUUAUGGUGGACCUGGAAUUCGAAGGAACUCUGGAGUCACUGCAUAUGGCAGAAAACACAGGCUGAGGUGCCUCAGUAGGAGCAUGGUCAGCAGUUAUGGAAAUUUGUCACCUGCCUGUCCAUCCUCGGCCCUGGGGGACCUCACCUGGAAUACCAUGACUGCUUUUGGGCCCUCCAGUUCAAGAGAGAUGCUGAGAAAGAAUAAAGGAUCCAGAGAAAAACACUUAUGCUGCUGAGGGGUCUAAAGCAUCAGGUUUAGACCCCUCAGGUCUGGGGAAGGCUGAGGGUGAAUCUGAGGCAGCAGCAGCUGCCUGAAGGGGAGUCACAAAGGUGGUGGAGCCAAACCCUUCCCAACAAGGAGCAGCCACAAGAGCUGUGGCUUGGGAAGGUCACACUGGACAUGAGGAGAAGAUGUUCCAGCAGGAGGGUCGUGCAGCAGCAGGACAGCUCAUUCAGGGAGGCUUUGGGUGCUCCCUCCUCAGGAAUUUCCAGGAUUUGGCUGAACAGAACUGACCUGACACAGCCCUGGCUGCUGCCCAACCAUCCUGCUGUGAGCAGAGAGCUCCAGUGCUCCCCUCCUGGGAAUAUCAGGUGUUUUUAUCCCACUUGGCCCCUCCAUCCUUCUCCUGGGUUUAGCUUUGUGCUCCUUCACAUCUGAACAUGCAACAGAAAUGUGGCUGCUCUCUUCUUACUGUUCACACAGAGCAGGAAAAAUAGAUGCUGAGAGGGUGGGGCAGCACAAUUAAUUCCAGGUUUUCACUUAAAAAAAAAAAAAAAAAAGCAAAUUUAUUUAUUUUCUUAUUUUCUCAGCAUUGAAAAGAUUAGAGACCUGCCAAGUUAUUUUUUGGUGAUACUAGUUUUGCUUUUAGAAAAUGAAUAUCUUCUGGUAGCUGACACACAGGAAUUCACGUAUGUGUGUGGUUUUCUUGGAGCUCUUGCAGCAAAUUCUUAAAUAUGGAACAGCCAGAAAAAAAUACAUUUAUUUCUUUUUUUUUUUUUUCAAUAGGCACUCCUACACUAAUUUAAAAAUAGUAAACUGGGGCAAGGUAAGUAUCACAGAGCCUGAUGUGAAAAAAAAUACAUUGAUAGAAAAUAAGGAAUAGAAUAUGUGAUGAAGAUUGACACUGUAAGUAAAAAAAAAAAGCAGAGGGAAAAAAAUAACACAGAAUAAUGGAAGAUGCAAAGUGAUUAGGGAGCACCAAGAGAGAUGGGAAUGGGAAGUUGGUGACAGAUGAGGCUGAUAAGGCAAAGGGCCUAAAGGAAUUCCUCGCCCCAGUAAUCACAAAGGGAGCAGAAGGCAAUAUCCCAGGAACUGGGAUUUGUUUUCCUCGGGGAAGGAAGGAAAAUGUCAAAAGGUUUUACUCUCGCACUGGAGUGGAUAAUAAGGCAAUUAGUACUAUUAAAAAGUUCUCAGAGCACCCAGACUGGAGUAAUAAAUCACAUCCUAGCAUUGUAAAGGGAAUGGGAGAUGCUGGAACGCUUUUGUGGGACAGUUGUGAUGACUUACUGGAAUGGGAAUUACUGAGGACUGGUGAGAGUUUAAUGAAUUUUGAGCAUUUACAGAUCUCUAAGCUUGACUGCACUUGACCUCAGGAGAAACUAGACACUGGUGAGUCAUGGCUGUGUAGAUUUUUAAGUGGCAACAUGAAUAUAUUAUUAAAAAUACACAAUUUUAACAUACAUGCCACAGGAGAAGUAUAUAAUACAAAUUAUUUGGAGUCUGCUGCACAAAAGAUUUAUGCAAAUAAUCUCUAUUAAUAGGAUUUCUCAGUGCAAAUCCUUUCUUGACAAUAGGAGAAGAAGCAAUAGUAUGCUUAUGAUUUACUUUUGCAAAGGGUUUCUGACAUUUCUACAAUUUCAAAUGGUGUUUUCCCCUACAUUAGGGAUAUUAGAGAGGAAGUAACUGGUAACAUUUUGCAAAGCUCUGUAAAUAUGUAAAGGAUGCAUUUUCUCAUCCACAGGUUGAAUAAGAAGGGAGAGGAAUACAAAUCCUUCAUAUACUAUACCUACCCACACCUUCAUUUGGUCUCCACACCUUUGUAUUGCUUGAUGCAUUUUAGAAAGAAACACAAUUCCUUUCUAAUAUGGUUUAACUGCUGCCAAUAAAAAUAAAAUAACAUAAAAAUAACA
rnacentral:lncRNA from 1 species